GAUCAUGGCUCAGAUUGAACGCUGGUGGCAGGCCUAACACAUGCAAGUCGAGCGGCAUCGAGUGAGCACAGUUUACUGAGUUCAUGUCGGCGAGCGGCGGACGGGUGAGUAAAGUCUGGGAAUCUGGCCGACGGAGGGGGAUAACUGCUGGAAACGGCAGCUAAUACCGCAUGAAGUCGUGAGACCAAAGUGGGGGGACCUUCGGGCCGUCACGCCGUCGGAUGAGCCCACGA
rnacentral:rRNA from 1 species